rnacentral:tRNA from 1 species
AAGAUACUAGUAAAAAAAUUACACGGCGAUGUCGAUGCCGGAUUUCGAGUUAAAACCUCGAGUUUCUUA